rnacentral:rRNA from 1 species
AAUAUUGGAUAAUGGGGGCAACCCUGAUCCAGCCAUGCCGCGUGUGUGAAUAAGGUCUUCGGAUUGUAAAGCACAUUAAGUUGGGAGGAAGGGAUUUAGGCUAAUACCCCUAAGCUUUGACGUUACCAACAGUAUAAGCACCGGCCAACACUGUGCUAGCAGCCGUGGUAAUACAGAGGGUGCAAGCGUUAAUCGGAAUUACUGGGCGUAAAGCGCGCGUAGGUGGUUCAGUAAGAUGGGUGUGAAAUCCCCGGGCUUAACCUGGGAACGGCUUUCAUAACUGCUGGGCUAGGGUACGGUAGAGGAUAGUGAAAUUUCCUGUGUAGCGGUGAAAUGCGUAGAUAUAGGAAGGAACAAAAGUGGCGAAGGCGACUACCUGGACUGAUACUGACACUGAGGUACGAAAGCGUGGGGAGCAAA